CUCGUAAAAGUCUUCUGUUUGGCCUAUAGGCCAAGAUAUGCAACAUAAAUACGGGAUUCAAACUUGUUCCAACUGCUGUCAAACUUGAAGGCUGAGCCACAUCCACUUCAAGGCAUUUUCUUUUAAUGGGUGGCAAGAUUUUUCCAAAUGAAUUUGAAGAAUUCUUGUUCGAAUCUACUGAUUUGGGAAUUCAAGUAGUUCGUGAGUCAUCUUUAUGCAUUGGCUCUUCAUAAAAUAAUUAGAGACUCUAUCUUAACAUCUAUUGUAGUUGGUGAUAUAAAGAAACCAUAUCUACGCAGAAAAUCAAAACCAUUAGCAAGCACAACAAAUCAGAAAGGUAAACUUAAGAAGAACAACAAGCACAAUAUGAUAAAUAAUCUCUCUCUCUCUCUCUUUCUCUCUUUUUCUUCUUUUUUUGAGACUUUUACACACAAGAAAUCAAGAACAAAAGUUGAACUCCACAGCAAAUGAAAACAAAGUCCAUAGCAAAUUCACCUUAAACCACCAAAAAUCAGGACCUAUUGCAAGUCAUUGGACUUUUUAUAGUCGGAAUCAAAAUUCAUUGUUUCAAUCAAUACAACCAAUUGUUGAAUUUGGUUUGGGUAAAGGUUAGGGUUUAUCGUUGGGAUUUUGAUUUGGGUAAUUUUGUGUUUUAAUUUGGGGAUUUUUUAGUUAAAGGUUUAUUAGAAGUGUGUUUCACAAAUUCAACAAAGGUUGUCAUUUUGAUUGAGUGCGUUUCUUAUCCAAGUGGACAAAUUAAAAGUGUUAAGUUUCCAUAACAGCUUUCCAUUAGACAGUGGCAUUUUCUAACAAUUAUAGAUAACAAAUUUAAAAGGUGUAAUGGAUGGGUA
rnacentral:lncRNA from 1 species